CCAUGCUUAAAAUUCUUCAACGGCUCUUUGGAGCCUACGUAAAGUACAAACGUCUUUUUGUCACGGCAUACAGGUCCCUUCACUAUCAGGCCCCUGCCUAUCUCAUCAACCUCAUUUCUCACUACUUCGCCUCUUGAACUUGAAACUGCAACCAUGUGAAAUGAUAAAGCUUGGAAUUUCCUAAACAGGUGGUGCGAUUUCACAUUCACCUCCUUUCUCCUUCCACUACAUAUACUGCUGUUACAGUAUUUAGAAUCCCGAAUUAUUUUGUGUAUGCCUGUUUUACCUACUUUAGACUGGGCAGUCCUACGUGUGGAACCUACAAGGGCAUCUAGCACAUGACAAGCACUCAAAAACAGCUGCACAAGAUUCUCCUUUCAAGCAGGAUACAGUAGGGAAUGGCAGCCAAUACUGAUGACAACUGGAGAAAUCCAGAUAAAUUAUAAAUAUCUUCUUAAAGCACCAAAUAGUUGUAGAAGCAACAAGGACCAGACAAACUAACACUUAAGUAAAGGAUGAGGGGUCACAGCAAGUCACCAAUUCACAGCUGUUUUUGUAUUUUUCCUUUGGUGUAUUUGCUGAUCUUGGACAUGGCUCAGGAUUACAGCUGAAGGCUGUCACUGAGGAAAAAGGAACCAAAAUGCUUUUAAUGUGGUCAUAUAGGACUGGAGUCCUAGAUGCAAAACCAAAGUCUUCAGGGAUCUCAAAAUAUAGGAUUUCUGAGAUAAGGCUGCUGCUGGGAGACAAAUGGCUGAGAAAUGUCCAAACAAAUGAAAUACAUCAACCCACUAACUCAACCUCAAGUUGACAAUACAAAGAGAAACACACACAGACACACCAUAGUCGAACGGCUGAACACCCCAAAAUAAAGAGAAAAAUCAAAAGCAAUGCAGCAACAGAAUUGACAGACAACUUCUCUAAAGAAAUGAUGAAAUCCAGGCAACAAUAAAAUGACAUCUUUAGAGGACUGAAAGAAAUAACUGCCAACCUUGAAUUUUACACCCUACAAAAACAUCUUUCAAAACUGAAGGUAAGAAGUUCCUGUCAUGGCUCAGUGGAAACGGCAUCCGAGAGGACGCAGUUGUGGCUGUGGGCUGUGGCACAGGCCAGCAGCUCUAGUUCCGAUUUGACCCCUAACCUGGGAGCCUCCACAUGCCAUGGUUCGGCCCUAAAAAGACAAAGACAAAACAAAACAAAACAAAACAAAACAAACAAACUGAAAUUAAAUGUAUUAGGAGUCUAGUGGUAUCAAGAAAUGGGAAAAAAAAUCUGUGUUAGACUCUAAUAUGUCAAGAAUCAUGUUGAAAUCUAUACGGUAAACUCCAAAAGAACUGUUUGAAAAAAAAUCUACUUGACAAGUUAAGAGAGUAGUAAAAAUGGGAUAAUAACUAUUUUUGAUUAAUCCAAAAGAAGAUGAAAAAUGAGAAAAAAAGAAGCAAAACCAGUGGGUCAAACAUAAAGCAAAUAUUUUAUUUUAUUUAUUUUUAUUUUUUUUUGUCUUUUUGCCAUUUCUUGGGCUGCUCCCGCGGCAUAUGCAGGUUCCCAGGCUAGGGGUCUAAUUGGAGCUGUAGCUGCCAGCCUAUGCCAGAGCCACAGCAGCGUGGGAUCCAAGCCGUGUCUGCGACCUACACCACAGCUCAUGGCAACGCCGGAUCCUUAACCCACCGAGCAAGGGCAGGGAUCGAACUCACAACCUCAUGGUUUCUAGUCGGAUUUGUUAACCACUGCGCCAAGACGGGAACUCCAAAGCAAAUAUUUUAGAAGAUGGUAGACAGAAGCCCAACCAAAACACUGAUGACAUUAAUUCAGAGUUUUCAGCACCGGCACUAAUGACAUUUAGGGCUGGAUAAUGACUGGUUCGUGGAGGGCUGUCCUGUGCACUCUAAGAUCUUUAGCAGUAUCUCUGGCCCCUGUCCCCAACAUGCCAGUACCACUCCCCCAAGACUGGCAACCAAAAACGUCUAGAGAUAUUUCCAGAUGUCCUGUGGAAGGCAAAAAAUGCCCUGGAUGAAAACUACUGCUACAGAAUGAUUCUAAAAUUGACAUGGGAGGAAUUCCUGUCGUGGCUCAGUGGUUAACGAAUCCGACUAGGAACCACUGGUUGCAGAUUUGAUCCCUGGCCUUGCUCAGUGGGUUAAGGAUCUGGCGCUACAGCUCUGAUUCCAUCCCUAGCCUGGGUACCUCCAUAUGCCUUGGGUGUGGCCCUAGAAAAAGACAAAAAAAAAAAAAAAUUGCUAUGGGAAUACAAACCACUUCAAAAGAGCAAAGAUCAUCUUGAAGAAGAGGAAUUAAAUUGGUAAAUUGUAGUAGUAGAAGUGAUUUCAAAAUGUACCAUCAUAUUAAAAUAAUUAAAGGCAGUGUGUUAUUGGCAAAAAGAAAGACAAAAGGAAGAGAAUAGAGUCCAGAAACAGUUCCACAUACACAACAGAGAUUCCAUAUGUAGGCUCAUAUACCUGACAAAAGUGACACCAAAAUGAACUGGAGGAAAAGCAUGGUCUGUUCUAUUUUUAUGGCUGCAGCCAUGAAAUAUGGAAGUUCCUGGGGCAGGGACUGAAUCCAAGGCACAGUUGUGACUACGCCGCAGAUCCUUAACCCACUGUGUUGGGCCAGGGAUUGAACCUGCUCCUCUGCAGCAACCUGAGCUGCUAAAGUUGGAUUCUUAACCCACUGCACCACAGUGGGAACUCCAAGAAUGGUCUUUUCAAUUACUAUGCCACUUGGCUACCUACCUGAAAAAAAUACAUAGGUCUUGAUUAUAUCACAUACUAGAUUUAAAUGUGAAACGUCAAACAAUAACACUUUCUGAAAAAAACAAAGAACAUCUUGGUAAUCUUGGAGUAGGCAAAGAUUUCUUAAACAGGACACAGAAAAGAGCUAACCAUAAAAAAAAAAAAGAUAAAUUGGACUACACUGAAAAUUAAGAACUUCUGUUCAUCAAAAGACACCAUUAAGAGUGGAGACAACCAAGAUCUUCUACACAUCAUUAGGAAAAAGACAAUCCAACAGAAACAUGAACAAGAACUUGAACAAGCAUACCACGAUAAUAAACACAUGCAAAGACAUUAGCACCAUUAGUCAGUAAAAUGCAAUUUAAAACCGUAAUAAAAUACCACCACAUACCCACCAGAAGGGCUAAGCCGAAAAAAAGGAAAAAAAAAGGAAAAAAAUACUAGGCAUUGGCAAGGGUAUAAAGCAAUUAGGACUCUCGUUCAGUGCUGGUAAGAGUGUAAUUGGUACAACUACUUUGGAAAGUACUUCUGCAAUAUCUACUAAGGACAUACGCUCUAUGACCUAUAACUCCGUUCUUUGAUAUAUACCCAACAGAAACGCAUAAAUAAAUUUACCAAAGAAUGUGUUCUGGAGUACACUAUCCAUAGUGCCCCCGCAGAGAAACUCCCCAAACACGCAUCUGUGGUAGAACGGAUAAACUGCAGCAGUUUCCCAAAGGGACACUCUACAGAUGAAGACUCACCACAAUUGGAGAUUUUCAAAAGAAUGGGUUAGGGGUUCAGAAAUAUAUAAACCAGCUCUCUGUAAGGAAGACAGUACAACAAAUUGCUACUCUGGCAUGACUAUAAAAGGCAAUCAUAUAUCGUUAUGGGAUGGCCAUGAAAUCACGCCUGGGUGACAAUACGUCAAUUAUAGAAGGAAUUGUUUAGAGAUUUAGAAGCUUAGGAGUCCCAGAUUCUACUCUUAUAAAAUGCAACCCUAAUUAUUUAAACUGGCACUGCAGAGUUUGAUGUUUAUAUAACUGACAGCAACAGGGCCAUUCCAGCCCAGAAAGUGAUACCAACAGGAGGCAUUCAGAACAAGUUGAUUCUCUAGGUGAACAGAGAAAACAACCCAGGUUUAGCUGUGGCAGGCGGUGACUGAAUAAACCAGUUCUUGACUCUAAACCUUUCCUGGUUCAGCGUCCCCCUAUGGUGGUCACAGAAAGCAGUCACUGGGGAGGUGGCAGACGACAUCUGCAAUUGGAGGGCUUUAAGUGAACCCAUUCCCCUGGCACCCUCUUCACUUCCUCCCCUUCUCUUUCUGCCUUGUCACAGGGAUGUGUAAGAUCCCAGGGCCAUGGCACACAGGUGGUGAAGACAUGGGACAUUCUGUAUAAGACGAGGUUCUGUACUUUAAGACACUUAAAAGAUAAGAUGGUAGACACAAGGUACAAUCAACAAGUGGAAAAGGGAGGGAAAAAACCCAGAGAAGGAGGACAGGAAUUUAGAAAACGCAUGAAGACCAACAGGGAAGUGUUCAUGGAGGGAGGAGGCUUUGUGUUGAGGAGGGGGGACUGCAUACUUGGGGUUGCGUGGGAAGACUGUUCAAGGUACAAUGCCUGUCUCAAGCAAAGGUCGGAAGGCAGAAAAGUCAUAGCACCUAAUCUAGAUGGAGAUGAGAGGGAGAUGCCAUCACGGCAAAUGAGCCAGGCCUCACACAGAGGUGACGUUCUGAUGAGGCUGCCUAUUUGGGGCCUUAGUACUUGUUACAUCAUCAAGGCUCUCACCUUUCAGGGGUUUACUCCCAGGUGAAUUCUGAGUGAGGCUUCCCUGAUUAGCCCUCUUUAAAAUUGCAACCCAUCCUCACUCCUUGCCCAGCCUUUAAAAUUGUCCUCCAUGGCACUGACAACCACCUGUCAAACCAGGUUAUCCACCUCUUUGUUUACUGUCUCUGUCCUUUCACAAGAAUAUAGGCUCUAUGAGGCCCAGUGAUGUUUGACAAGUUUCUUCAUUGCUUCUGGCAAAGAGCAGGUAUUCAAUAGACACUUAUUGAAUCGACAGUCAGAGACCAAGGUCUGGUUCUCUUAUUUGGGGGAGCUUUGAUAUUGGCUACGUCUAUUUGGGGGAGCUUUGGCAUCGGCUACAUCUGAACUGGAUUCUGGGUAAAAACCACUAUACUUGUCUCCUCUUGGAGAUGAAUUAUUCCUUUAGGUAGUUGAUCUCAUCCUUCAUGGAAGGAUCUUGCUCAAUUCCUUCUCGGGUGACAACUGCAGUUCUAGAUUUUGGCUGUAUGCCAGCCUAUUUUUAGACUAUUGCCAGGAUAGGGACAGAAGGAGUAUGAAAACAGGAAUCUGACAGUCUGGCCUCUAGUCCUGGCUUUUACAGUAUCUGGCUGUGUAGUUUCCAUGUAUUUCAGUUUCUUGAACAUAAAAUAAACUUGGUGGGUAAGAUGACCUCUAAAACUUCUAACUUUGAAUAACUGGCAUAUAGCAGGAAGACUGGGUUUAGAUUCCAGAGACAGGAGUUUAGGUAUAAGAAUUACCAACCCAAGUUUUUUUAAAUUUUAUUUUCCCUUUUUUUUAAAACAAUCGCACCUGUGGCACACGGAAAUUCCUGGGCUAAGGGUUGAAUUGGAGCUGCAACUGAGGCCUACAUCACAGCCACAGCAAUACCAGAUGUGAACUGCAUCUAUGACCUAAGCUGCAGCUUGCGCCAAUGCCAGAUCAUUAACCCACUGAGUGAGGCCAGGGAUCGAACGUGCAUCCUCACAGAGACAAUGUUGGGUUCUUAACCUGCUGAGCCACAAUAGCAACCCUGCCAACACAAGUUCUUGAAUAGAAGGAAGAGAGCUAAUACUUGUUGAAAGAAACCUACUAUACACUGCAUAAUGAGCUAGAUAUUUUAUGUGCAUAAGUUCCUCAUCCACAAGCUGAGUACACAAGGAUCAGGGAGAUUAAGUGAUGCCCAAGGUCAUAUAGCAAGCAAUGGCAGACCUGGGGUCAGACCUGGGACUCACCUCGGCCUGUGUGACUCCAAAGACUG
rnacentral:lncRNA from 1 species